GGGGGCGCACCGGUCUCGACGGGGUUGAUUUUCAGGUACGUGGCUGCGUGCCGAGGUUGUGCGGAACCUCGUAAAACACCGUGCAAAACAACAGAAGCCAACAACAACGACUUCUUCGCCGCGCGGGCUGUGGCCUAAAACACCACCGCUCCGAGUCGCCUCAAAACCGACCCGGCCGUUCGGGCGAGUACCGCCAGGGGUACCGUCUGGGCGUAAUCUUCCUGGAUAGUCCCGAGGGGGGAGCGCGGCGCGCUUCCCAGAGGACGAGAAACUCCACUUAGUCGCCGUCGAACCCGAAUGUCACCGAGCUCCCGCGGUGACCGGGGGAGACCAUCGGGAGCUACGCAUCGUAGUACGUCACGGCCGGUCGGCUUCGGACGCGGGUUCGACUCCCGCCGCCUCCAUUU
rnacentral:tmRNA from 1 species